AUUGAACGCUGGCGGCAGGCCUAACACAUGCAAGUCGAACGGUAACAGGGAUCAGCUUGCUGAUUCGCUGACGAGUGGCGGACGGGUGAGUAAUGUCUGGGAAACUGCCUGAUGGAGGGGGAUAACUACUGGAAACGGUAGCUAAUACCGCAUAACGUCGCAAGACCAAAGAGGGGGACCUUCGGGCCUCUUGCCAUCGGAUGUGCCCAGAUGGGAUUAGCUAGUAGGUGGGGUAACGGCUCACCUAGGCGACGAUCCCUAGCUGGUCUGAGAGGAUGACCCGCCACACGGGAACUGGGACACGGCCCAGCCCCCAACGGGAGGCAGCAGUGGGAAAUAUUGCACAAGGGGCGCAAGCCUGAUGCAGCCAUGCCGGGUGUAUGAAGAAGGCCUUCGGGUUGUAAAGUACUUUCAGCGGGGGGGAAGGGAGUAAAGUUAAUACCUUUGCUCAUUGACGUUACCCGCAGAAGAAGCACCGGCUAACUCCGU
rnacentral:rRNA from 1 species